GUGCCAGCAGCCUCUUUACUACUUAGGGGGCGAGCGUUACCCGGAAUUACUGGGCGUAAAGGGUGCGUAGGCGGCCCUUUAAGUCGGAUGUGAAAGCCCGCGGCUUAACCGCGGAAUGGCAUUCGAAACUGGAGGGCUUGAGUGUCGGAGAGGGUAGUGGAAUUCCCAGUGUAGCGGUGAAAUGCGUAGAUAUCGGGAGGAACACCAGUGGCGAAGGCGACUACCUGGACGACAACUGACGCUGAGGCACGAAAGCUAGGGGAGCAAACAGGAUUAGAUACCCUGGUAGUCCUAGCCGUAAACGAUGGGUACUAGGUGUAGGUGGUUUCGAUACCAUCUGUGCCGCAGUUAACGCAAUAAGUACCCCGCCUGGGGAGUACGGGCGCAAGCAUGAAACUCAAAGAAAUUGACGG
rnacentral:rRNA from 1 species